UACGUAGGGCGCAAGCGUUAUCCGGAAUUAUUGGGCGUAAAGAGCUCGUAGGCGGUUUGUCGCGUCUGCCGUGAAAGUCCGGGGCUCAACUCCGGAUUUGCGGUGGGUACGGGCAGACUAGAGUGAUGUAGGGGAGACUGGAAUUCCUGGUGUAGCGGUGAAAUGCGCAGAUAUCAGGAGGAACACCGAUGGCGAAGGCAGGUCUCUGGGCCACUACUGACGCUGAGAAGCGAAAGCAUGGGGAGCGAACAGG
rnacentral:rRNA from 1 species